GUACCGGAUACGUGCGAGGAAAGGAAUCAGCGUUAGCACUGGCGCACGUUGAGGGAAAAAGGCUAGACAGGAACAGUGUCCAGGAAAUCAAGGCUCACCCCUUUCUUUCAAAACGAUCUGUGGACCUUCGAGAACAUUCGCGAUGGUGAGCCUGGGUGCCACAAGCCUACAGACUGGAUAAACUGCUGUGCCAGUGUUGACGUACGUAAAGGGGAGGUCCGGUGUCGAUUUGACUGUUUUCAACUAAACAUAUUUUCUGA